rnacentral:rRNA from 1 species
AGUGAACGCUGGCGGCAGGCCUAACACAUGCAAGUCGAACGGCAGCACAGAGGAGCUUGCUCCUUGGGCGGCGAGUGGCGGACGGGUGAGGAAUACAUCGGAAUCUGCCUAUUUGUGGGGGAUAACGUAGGGAAACUUACGCUAAUACCGCAUACGACCUACGGGUGAAAGCGGAGGACCUUCGGGCUUCGCGCAGAUAGAUGAGCCGAUGUCGGAUUAGCUAGUUGGCGGGGUAAAGGCCCACCAAGGCGACGAUCCGUAGCUGGUCUGAGAGGAUGAUCAGCCACACUGGAACUGAGACACGGUCCAGACUCCUACGGGAGGCAGCAGUGGGGAAUAUUGGACAAUGGGCGCAAGCCUGAUCCAGCCAUGCCGCGUGGGUGAAGAAGGCCUUCGGGUUGUAAAGCCCUUUUGUUGGGAAAGAAAAGCAGCCGGUUAAUACCCGGUUGUUCUGACGGUACCCAAAGAAUAAGCACCGGCUAACUUCGUGCCAGCCGCCGCAGUAA